GUACAGUUAAAGAACGAUGUGGUUCAUGAUGUAUUGGUGUGGUAAGAUGAAUACUUCCUAGUAGUGAAUGUGCACUGUGUUUAGCCUUACCACUUUGCGAAUAUUCUGCUUGUUUGAAUUCAUAUUUAUACAGACUAAGUUGUAGUUGAGCUUUGUACAUAUGAUAUAUAUAUCUCAUGUUUAUUGAAUGAUUUGUGCAAGCGUUACUGUGUUUUUGUGAUAAA
rnacentral:lncRNA from 1 species